AUUGAACGCUGGGGGCAGUCCUAACACAUGCAAGUCGAACGGCAGCACAGAAGAGCUUGCUCUUUGUGUGGCGAGUGGCGGACGGUCGAGUAAUGACUGGGAAACUUCUCGAUGGAGUGGGAUAACUACUGGAAACGGUAGCUAAUACCGCAUCACGUCGCGAGACCAAAGUGGGGGGCCUUCGGGCCUAACACCAGCCGAUGUUCGCAGGUGGGAGUAGCUAGGAGGUGGGGUAAUGGCUCACCUAGGCGACGAUCCCGAAGCUGUUCUGAGAGGAUGACCAGCCACACUGGAACUGAGACACGGUCCAGACUCCUACGGGAGGCAGCAGUGGGGAAUAUUGCACAAUGGGGGCAAGCCUGAUGCAGCCAUGCCGGGUGUAUGAAGAAGGCCUUCGGGUUGUAAAGUACUUUCAGCGGGGAGGAAGGCGGUGAGGUUAAUAACCUCGCCGAUUGACGUUACCCGCAGAAGAAGCACCGGCUAACUCCGUGCCAGCAGCCGCAGUAA
rnacentral:rRNA from 1 species